rnacentral:rRNA from 1 species
UACGUAGGGGGCAAGCGUUGUCCGGAUUCAUUGGGCGUAAAGAGCGUGUAGGCGGCCAGGUAGGUCGGGUGUGAAAACUGGAGGCUCAACCUUCAGAGGUCGACCGAAACCAUCUGGCUAGAGUCCGGGAGAGGAGAGUGGAAUUCCUGGUGUAGCGGUGAAAUGCGCAGAUAUCAGGAAGAACACCCGUGGCGAAAGCGGCUCUCUGGAACGGUACUGACGCUGAGAAGCGAAAGCAUGGGGAGCGAACAGG